UACGAGUGCUUCGAGCGUUAUCCGGAAUCAUUGGGCGUAAAGGGUGUGUAGGCGGUUCUGUUAGUCCUGUGUUAAAUAUACCGGCUCAACCGGUAUGCCGCAUGGGAUACGGCAGAACUUUGAGGAUGGUAGGGGUCUCUGGAACUCAUGGUGUAGCGGUGAAAUGCGUAGAGAUCGGAAAGAACACCAACGGCGAAAGCACUCUGCUGGGCCGACACUGACACUGAGAGACGAAAGCUAGGGGAGCGAAUGGG
rnacentral:rRNA from 1 species